AGGAAUAUUGGUCAAUGGACGAGAGUCUGAACCAGCCAAGUAGCGUGAAGGAUGAAGGUUCUAUGGAUUGUAAACUUCUUUUAUACGGGAAUAAACGGAUCCACGUGUGGAUUUUUGCAUGUACCGUAUGAAUAAGGAUCGGCUAACUCCGUGCCAGCAGCCGCGGUAAUACGGAGGAUCCGAGCGUUAUCCGGAUUUAUUGGGUUUAAAGGGAGCGUAGAUGGGUUGUUAAGUCAGUUGUGAAAGUUUGCGGCUCAACCGUAAAAUUGCAAUUGAUACUGGCAGUCUUGAGUACAGUUGAGGUAGGCGGAAUUCGUGGUGUAGCGGUGAAAUGCUUAGAUAUCACGAAGAACUCCGAUUGCGAAGGCAGCUUACUAACCUGUAACUGACAUUGAUGCUCGAAAGUGUGGGUAUCAAACAGGAUUAGAUACCCUGGUAGUCCACACGGUAAACGAUGAAUACUCGCUGUAGGCGAUAUACAGUCUGCGGCCAAGCGAAAGCAUUAAGUAUUCCACCUGGGGAGUACGCCGGCAACGGUGAAACUCAAAGGAAUUGACGGGGGCCCGCACAAGCGGAGGAACAUGUGGUUUAAUUCGAUGAUACGCGAGGAACCUUACCCGGGCUUAAAUUGCAACCGAAUAUGGCGGAAACGCCAUAGCUAGCAAUAGCGGUUGUGAAGGUGCUGCAUGGUUGUCGUCAGCUCGUGCCGUGAGGUGUCGGCUUAAGUGCCAUAACGAGCGCAACCCUUGCCGAUAGUUACUAACAGGUUAUGCUGAGGACUCUGUCGGGACUGCCAUCGUAAGAUGUGAGGAAGGUGGGGAUGACGUCAAAUCAGCACGGCCCUUACGUCCGGGGCUACACACGUGUUACAAUGGGGGGUACAGAGGGCUGCUACCACGCAAGUGGAUGCCAAUCCCAAAAACCUCUCUCAGUUCGGAUUGAAGUCUGCAACCCGACUUCAUGAAGCUGGAUUCGCUAGUAAUCGCGCAUCAGCCACGGCGCGGUGAAUACGUUCCCG
rnacentral:rRNA from 1 species